CCCAUACGCCCAACUCUACCAGCGCGAUGGCCACCGCGCCGAGCGAAUACACCGCCUAAUACGCCGACGUCCUUAACCCUCCGAGCCAGAUUCUCAGCGUUGUUAAACCCCCUUUCGUUGUUAAACCCUAAUUUAUAAAACAACCCGAAAUCAGAAUCAGUAUCAAAAUCGAUGCAUGAAUAUAACACUGCCUUUCGAAAUCCAAGGGGAAAUCUUAAAAAGGGUUCCAGAAGUGAAGUCUGUCGCCGAUUACCGCCCCCAGCUAACACGUCAUCAUAUAUUCGUAUGGUAUUAUAGUCGUAUAUGGAACAAGUAUGUAUCUGUAGUAGAUAAUGACAGGGAUAGUCCUAGUUUCGCCCAACACAAGCUUAUUCCCAAUUCUGUUGAAUCACUUGACGGUUUCGAAGUUUACGGUAGCUCUCUAUACUAAUUCUCCAAAAGGUAUAGCCGUUCUUUGGAACCCUUGAAUACAAAAAUCUGUUACUAUUGAUGUGCCUAAUUAAAUUGGGGUCAGUCCCGACUCUAGUGACCCUAAGCUCCUCAGCAUUCAAAGCUUUGUUAGUGUGUCGGAUGAUUUAAAACCUAGGCGAGUUAAGCUUUACAGUUUAAGAUUUGCCUCGUUCAUCGGUUGCAUUCUAUGAAAAUCGCCAUGUAGCUAUAGAGAACGGCGCGUACAGUGAAUUGGAGUCUCUCGCCGUGGUUGCAUCUUCAUUUAAUUAUAGUGUCAACAGACGAGUUUAUCAUGUAUGGCUGAUGGUAGGAACAAUGGCCAUCCUAUACUCCGAAUGGAUGUUGGUGUGUUUGAUAAACUUCUUGUUUAUGAACCUGAUUCGGAAAAAUUCACUUCUAUAUGGCCUUCUCGAAUCAGAUAUACAAGGUAUGCGGCUUCCUACAUGGAAACACUACUUUUGCUUAAUCACUAAGAUUGUAGUGUUUUAGUUCCAUGUAUAUCAACGGCAAAGAGAUUGGGGACAUUUGAAACUGUGGAGCUUUUUGGAGCACGCAAGCAAGGCAAUGCAUGGAGGAUGAGGGAUGCUGUUUGAGUUAGGCUCGAAGGGCUACGGGCCUGCACGCAUAGUGGCCAAUCUCUAUAGAAGGUAUUCAGGUGGAAGCGACACAUGUUGGGUAAGCAGAGAGGUAUGCCAAGUUGAGAAUUACCACAGUAGAAGAGUUCCGGAAAACUCAUUUCUUGACAGGGCAAGGUCUUGUUCAGGCUUUUUAAUGAGUAUCAGGUUAGGAGGCCUGAUUAUGUCAUAUCUUUAGAAGGAUGUGGUGCCUUGUGGAGGGAUAUGCAGUCUCGGUUAGUUCAUGAUUCAGUAUUUGGUGGUGUAUUCUUCUCAAGCCGGAAAUUUCUGCAUCAUGCACUGCUGGACUUUGAAGGCUGUUUGGAUGGACCUGAUUCCAAGCUCUGAUGAAGAUAUUGGUUCAUUACACCCUUUUGCACAGCUGGAUUUUCAGGCUCAGUUGUUGCAACAGCCUCCCAUUCUUUUGACACUGACAAAUGUCAAUCGCACAAUAUCUUGUGUUGCCAAAGGUCCUAUAUGUAUAGUGCAAGAACAAAUGAAGUCUAUUUCUCCUUAGUACUCUCUGGUAAAGAUGGUACCCCUAGAAUGGAAAUGGAGGGAAAUGAAUACAAACUAAAAGUUUCAGUCAGCGACAGCAGUACAUUACCAUGGAGAGGAACUUCCUAAGGUGGACUUUGCCAGGAAGGAGGUUUGAGAGACUUACAGGCAUCCAUCCUCGAGAUAGAAAUAUACUUUUUGUGUGGCAUGAUGGCGGGCUGCGUCAUUUAUUUUUAAAGGUAGUUACUUAUUUGUGAUCGUUCACCUAGUUUCAGUAUGAAUUAAUCUUACUAAACUUGAAUAAGGGUUCUAUGAGUUCUUCUAAAUCCCCAAAACCACAUGAUACGUACAUGAACAGUUCAUGUGAAUUUCAGUAGAUAAACUGGUGGAGGCAGGUAACCAGUCAAAACAUGACCUGGUCAAAUGAUUGAUGUUUGCUACAGGUCAUACCGGAUCAUGUUGGGUUGACAUGCUGUCUGAUUUUAUUGAAGUUGUUAGUGUUUUACCAAAAAAACUGUUUUAUCUUGAUAAGCAUCUAAAAAUUAUGAAUAAUAACAUUUAGGAGGUUUUAUGUA